rnacentral:rRNA from 1 species
AGAAUCAACGCUGGCGGCGUGCCUAACACAUGCAAGUCGAACGAGAAAGUGGAGCAAUCCAUGAGUAAAGUGGCGACCGGGUGAGUAACACGUGACUAACCUACCUUCGAGUGGGGGAUAACCUCGGGAAACCGAGGCUAAUACCGCAUAACAUCGCAAGAUCAAAGCAGCAAUGCGCUGGAAGAGGGGGUCGCGGCUGAUUAGCUAGUUGGCGGGUAACGCCACAGCGAAGAUCGGUAGCCGGCCUGAGAGGGCGCACGGCCACACUGGAACUGAAACACGGUCCAGACUCCUACGGGAGGCAGCAGUGGGGAAUUUUGCGCAAUGGGGGAAACCCUGACGCAGCAACGCCGCGUGGAGGAUGAAGCCCCUUGGGGCGUAAACUCCUUUCGACCAAGACGAUAAUGACGGUACUGGUGGAAGAAGCACCGGCUAACUCUGCGCCAGCAGCCGC